rnacentral:tRNA from 1 species
AGCAUUUUUAGUUUAUAAAAAUAUCAUUUUGCAAAAAUGAAGAUGAAUUACUUGUUAUUGUGCUU